UACGGGGGGGGCAAGCGUUGUUCGGAAUUACUGGGCGUAAAGGGCCCGUAGGCGGCCAACUAAGUCGGACGUGAAAUCCCCAGGCUCAACCUGGGAACUGCGUCCGAUACUGGAUGGCUUGAAUUCGGGAGAGGGAUGCAGAAUUCCAGGUGUAGCGGUGAAAUGCGUAGAUAUCUGGAGGAAUACCGGUGGCGAAGGCGGCAUCCUGGACCGACAUUGACGCUGAACGGCGAAAGCUAGGGGAGCAAACGGG
rnacentral:rRNA from 1 species